AAGAAGUAUUGUCUACAGCCAUUGCCCAUUAACAUAGGCCCUACUCAUGUACUAGAUCUAGCUCUUUUGAUCACAACUCAUAUCUUGCCUAGAUAUAAACAACUGUACUAGAUUGGACUAGACAUUCUAAUCGGUUCUAUUUUCUUUUUCAUUAUUCUCACACAUGGCAGUAGGUACCAAAUUGUGCUAUUUAUUCACUGUAGAUCUAGAUCUUAACUUUUCUCUUAACUACCAAAGAAGUACACAAAGGAUGUUGAAUGAUACCCAAAGGGUUCUAAUUGCUACCAUUCAAUGUGUGGAUUCAAGUAUUUACCCAGAUACUGCCACAAUAUGUUAUUAUUGUUUUCAAAGGAGUUUGCACACAGUGCCAGAAGCUGUAUAAAUACAUUUAACAAUGUAUAUUUCAAGAAGAAAUGAUGCUUUCUUAUUCCUAAGAGUUUUAUCAAUAGGAUGAAUGCCACAAAACUCACUUGUUAUGCCAGAAACUCUUCCUACGAAACUUCCAUACUAGAAUUGGUCC